rnacentral:rRNA from 1 species
CUAGCAUAUCAUAGCGAGAAAGAAACCAACUGGGAUUGCCUUAGUAACGGCGAGUGAAGCGGCAAUAGCUCAAAUUUGAAAGCUGGCCCCUUCGGGGUCCGCGUUGUAAUUUGUAGAGGAUGAUUCGGCGAGGGCUCCCGUCUAAGUCCCCUGGAACGGGGCGUCAUAGAGGGUGAGAAUCCCGUAUGUGAUGGGUUGCCUUAGCCAUGUGAAUCUCCUUCGACGAGUCGAGUUGUUUGGGAAUGCAGCUCUAAAUGGGAGGUAAAUUUCUUCUAAAGCUAAAUACCGGCCAGAGACCGAUAGCGCACAAGUAGAGUGAUCGAAAGAUGAAAAGCACUUUGGAAAGAGAGUUAAAAAGUACGUGAAAUUGUUGAAAGGGAAGCGCUUGCAGCCAGACUUGUCCGCAGUUGCUCAGCCGGUCUCCUGACCGGCGUACUCUUCUGCGGCCAGGCCAGCAUCAGUUCGGGCGGUCGGAUAAAGACCUCGGGAAUGUAGCUCCUCUCGGGGAGUGUUAUAGCCCGGGGUGGAAUGCGGCCAGCCUGGACUGAGGAUCUCGCUUCGGCUAGGAUGCUGGCGUAAUGGCUGUAAGCGGCCCGUCUUGAAACACGGACCAAGGAGUCUAACAUCUAUGCGAGUGUUUGGGUGUCAAACCCAUACGCGUAAUGAAAGUGAACGGAGGUGGGAACCCUCACGGGUGCACCAUCGACCGAUCCUGAUGUCUUCGGAUGGAUUUGAGUAAGAGCAUAGCUGUUGGGACCCGAAAGAUGGUGAACUAUGCCUGAAUAGGGUGAAGCCAGAGGAAACUCUGGUGGAGGCUCGCAGCGGUUCUGACGUGCAAAUCGAUCGUCAAAUUUGGGUAUAGGGGCGAAAGACUAAUCGAACCAUCUAGUAGCUGGUUCCUGC